rnacentral:rRNA from 1 species
GCCGAGGACUCGCUCGUCAGCCAAGGACCAAAGUUGGGGUAUCGAAAACGAUUAGACACCGUUGUAGUCCCAACCACAAACUUUGCUGACUGGCCUUGUGGCACCCUACGGCUUCGGCUAGGGGGUGGUGCGGGGCCUAGGCGAAAGCAUAGUCUUCGAGUCACUUGGAGAGUAUGCCCGCAAGAGUGAAACUUAAAUGAGUUGGCGGAGUCCCAUACAUGAACUGGAGCUUGCGGUUUAAUUUGAUUCAACACGGGACAACUUACCAGGGCCUCGGCAAGUAUGAGUCGUUCCCUGUCUCAGGGUGUGGUUGAAAUCCAACGACGAUUUUGCCUGGGGUUGUGCAUGGCCACCCGAGGCCGAUGGAUUGAUCUUUUGGUUAAGUCCGGUAAUCGGCGAGACCCGCGCUGUCAGUUUCGAGCCAAGAGGCGAGUCUGGCAGAACUUGCAUUCGCAAGAGUGAGGUAGGAC